rnacentral:lncRNA from 1 species
UUUUUUUUUGCCUCUUUGUAAAUAAUUGGACACGAAGAGCUGAGAUUGAUCGGAGAAUGGUCCAACAGAGAUCCUCCAAAAUAGGAGUGUUCGCUCAGUAUUUUAUCGUUGGUAAAAUAUCUUAUGCAAUAAUAAAAAUCAGUAAUAUAGUGCGUUAACAAUAGCAGUAUAGUAGUAUCGUUAUUACCACGCUCAAAAGAACGAAAUCUUAUUACCUCUCCCGUGGGUCUGACUCGCCGUAGGUCUGCCGACCGCUGAAAACAAAACACGCGUCUCCGGAACCACCCCCCCCCCCCCCCCCCCCCCCCAAAAGCCGACCGGAUACCGAGCUGUGUGACGCAAGGCCACUCGUGGCGAAACUCCUACGCUUGACCCUCCGCAGCAGCCUCCAGGCCGCCGGAGAUCGGUGGCUGGCGGAGUCCAAUCUGCGUGGAGGUCCGGCCGCUCGACCGACCCCCUCCGCCGCCGCCGCCGGUGAGUCAAAUGUCCGACGUGCUGCUGGUGACAUGGAUCUGAAUUCAUUGUUUGUCUGCCAUCAUUCAUGCUAUCUUCAUGCAUCCCUUCCAAUACAAUUUGGCUGCCACCAUUUGUCCAGUGUUAGCAUUAAGCCAUGCUGAACAAAAGAUUGAUCUGUUCUCAAUCGUAGGAAUAUCUUUUUUGCUUAUACAGGAAUCGUUCUUAGGUUCUAAACUCAUAUUAAUGUCCUUUUUUCUCCUCCUGUUGCCACAUCAUAAUAAUGAUACACUUGAUUGUUUGUUCUAAGUUAAAAGAUUGAAUGGUAGGUUCCAUCCCUACCAGAAAAUUUCUUCAUUCUUUCAGGACCUGUCCGAUCUGAUUCUCUUAUGAACAAAAGAGACAAAAUCACAUUUAAGCCACAUUUCAGGAAUCAUUCUUAGCUCCACAUAAAUUUUGAUCAAAAGAGACAAAACCACACUUAUUCCUGGAAUUCCUCUUCUGCUGCAUGUAUGCCACAUCUAAAUCCAGAAACAGAAAACGAUGGUGGAGGGUUGAAGUAAGGUACCUGUUCGAUAUGAUCCUGGGUCCAGUGCUUCUCAACGGCCUCUGCUUGCCUCCACGACUAGUGGAACAGCGGCCUCCACGAAGAGGAUAAUACUGUCACCAGCCAAUGAUCCUAUUGAUUGGAUUAUAUGCCUUUUAUUUAACUGUCGCAUCAUCUAGGUGUUUCCAAGAUGAGUUUUGCAGUAAAUACAUUGUCAUGCUUAGAUCCUUGCUUGGUCUUGAAUCUUUUGAACUUGCUCAGCCUUGAAUCUUUUGAACUUGCUCAGUCUUGAAUCUUUUGAACAAAUUGGUGCUUAAUGUCUGGCCCAAUAUUUUAAAAACUGGUGCUUGAUGUCUGAUCCAGUUUUUUAUCACCUAGAUCUUGAUGUCUGCAGGUGUGACAACUACUGAUAUAUAUAAACAUUGACAAGGACGUUGAGUUUUUGAUACAGCUGCGUGCAAUUUUCUUUAUUUGUUCCAUUCAAUGCAUUCUGCUUCCGGUAGUAGUAAUUCAGUUUUAGUAUUUAGAGCCUUGAAAAUAUUCAUGGAGUCAGGUGCCAGUUUCUUUUCUAACUUCACUUGGUACUAUCGAAUACGUUAUAUACCCGUGUUGCUGCGUUUAUCCAAGUAAUCCACAAACGACGAAAAUCCCUCUUUUGCCUACCUCUAUAUCGAUGAGAAGAAACAAAAGCUCUACUACUUGUUGAGUAAUCAUUCAAUUAAGUCUUAAAUGAGCCCUCUAAAGUUUGAGGCAAAUGAACACAUUUUUGUUCGUCAUCUCCGAGCUAUAUAUCCUCGCGGAACUCUGGUCAUUGAAUCAAAUUAACCUUAAUGAAUAACUAAUAAUUUCUCUUCUUUUCUUUUAACCCUCUUUUUUCCUAUUAAUAACAAAACGGAUUAUUCCAAUAUAUAAAAUAUUAAUUCCAAUGGCUUUUGCUACUAUAACCUUCCUAACCACAAUUUUUUAUUCAUUUUUCUUCACUUAAUUUCGCAUAGAAAUAACAAAUUCUAACGAUAUUAAAAAAAUAGUGGGUUCCAUCGUUUCUAUGGUUCCCCUUUAAACGGCGAGGCCCUCUCUAUACAUCGGAGCCCUUUCUUUCAUUUCAUCAAAAGGUAUUGUGAACUUGCAUAGUUCACAUUCUUUGGCUCUACCUAUCCAUUAUAGAGUAAAUAGCU